GAGUUUGAUCAUGGCUCAGAACGAACGCUGGCGGCAGGCUUAACACAUGCAAGUCGAACGCGUGUAGCAAUACACGAGUGGCGCACGGGUGAGUAACACGUGGAUAUCUGCCUUUUGGUUCGGAAUAACCCUGGGAAACUAGGGCUAAUACCGAAUGGUUCCUACGGGAUAAAGAUUUAUCGCCAAAAGAUGAGUCCGCGUCCGAUUAGCUAGUUGGCGGGGUAAUGGCCCACCAAGGCGACGAUCGGUAGCUGGUCUGAGAGGACGAUCAGCCACACUGGGACUGAGACACGGCCCAGACUCCUACGGGAGGCAGCAGUGGGGAAUAUUGGACAAUGGGGGCAACCCUGAUCCAGCCAUGCCGCGUGAGUGAUGAAGGCCUUCGGUUG
rnacentral:rRNA from 1 species